AACUAAGUUUGUUCUUGGUAUAAGCUUUCAUGUGCAUGCACACUUCUUCAGAUACACUGAAACAGAAGUUAUAUAAGGGUCUGGUGACUUCUGUUUCAGUGUAUCUAAAGAAGUGUUCACGCACACAAAACCUUAUACCAAGAACAAACUUAGUUGG